GGUUCAAAGACAGACUGCAAGCCAGUCUCUUUCAGGAUGAAAGGAGAGGAAGUCCUGCUUCUAUAAUCCCCAGCUGAAGAGAGUCUCCCACCAGGACAGAGUGUUUUAGGUUGUGCUAUCCCAGAGGUGAACCAUGGUCUAAGUAACUGCGAGGAGAUACCAUGAACCCCUGAGUACAUGAUGAAGAAGCAAGAAGAGAAAGAAGCCAAUACAAGAAGCAUUAGUGAUCAGGCUACCUCUGGGCACAGUAUUUAGUAAGCUACUGCUACCUGCCUGGUCUGCUGUGUUUCCCAGUGGCCUUAGGUGACCCUUGUGAAAGGGUCAGCCCCCAGGGGGUCAUGUCCCACAAGCCUUUUUGCUAGGAAUCGAUGAGAAGAAAAGAUUGGCAGAGCUCAGUGGAUUUCUCCUCUGAUAUCUGGCUGUUUGCAUCUUUAUUAUCCACUGGAAUCCUCUGCAUCUUGGGCUGCUUUAAAGAUGUCACUGGUAUCUAAAGAAGAGGCCAAGGAAGCUGCUGAACGCCCUGCGGUGCACAGGGCAGCCCCACCACAAGGUUGCUCAACUUAAUGCCAGCUGCUUCAAGGUUGAGAAAUUCAGCUUCGUUCUUCACCCAGAACUCAUCUGAGCUGUGACUCUCCUUACGUCAUAGAUGAUAAUUCCAGAAGCACGUAUAUGUUGAUAUUUCACAUUUAAAAAUGCAAACAUGAACCAGUAAGAGACAUUUCCCAUCUCUGUGUAGCAUCUCUGUACAUCAUCAGUGAGUCAUGGGUUAUAAGAGGCAUGCCUUUGGCUGUUAGGAUCCCUUCUGCUCAAUUCAUUUCCUGUCCACCAUGAGAUAAGUAGCUCCUGUCACAUGCUCUGCCUGCUGUGACACUCUGCUGUACUGUUUACCCAGAAUCAAUGAAGCAGGACUACAGACCGAUUUCUCUGAUGCUGUGAGCCAAAAUAAACCAU
rnacentral:lncRNA from 1 species